GGGAAACUCUUUUACUCAGCAAAAGGAUGAAGUGGUCUCCUGAGUGCGGAGAGCUGCUUAGUAUCCUGAAAUCCACUUGCUUGCUCCAGCGAGGAGUGCCAAGGACAUUGUCGGGGAUGCUCCACAGACGCGCGGUGAAUUGAGUGGGUAGCUGAGGGAGGCUGCUGCUGCUAUGACUCCACCAGACUUGCCAGUCAGGAGCACACAGACCUCCAGGGAGCUGCUCACAAGCCUUGAAGGAUUGCCCUGAAUAAGUGCAUUCAUAAAGACCACGAGCCAAGCCACCAC